GCGUCGGUAGUGUAACGGUUCAGCAUGGGCUCCCGUAGAAAGUGAAAUCUGGGUUCGAAUCUCAGCCGACGCA